AGCGCACUUGAAUUUACGUAUUUAUAAAUAACAAUACUCUCAUCAAAUGAAUUAAGACUAAAUCAUUGAGUAUGUAUUUAAAUACAAUAGCGGUUUGUGAAAUGAAAAAUAAAUUUUGACAUUCAUUCACGUAGAUUUUAGAAUAAUAUUUUGAUGUGGAUUUAUGUAUUAUUAGUGAAUAUUUUAUACCUAAUAACAAACUUAACAUGUAACAAUAAUGUAGAUGUAAAUUUAUUUUGCCACAAACAACAAUUAACACAACUUUUUUCUAGGAUAUUUCUUUUUUUUUUUUACCAGAAAGCCAUUCCCACGUAAACCUAAUAAUGACAAGCUGAUGUUGAAAACUCUUCAAUGA
rnacentral:lncRNA from 1 species